rnacentral:rRNA from 1 species
UACAGAGGUCUCAAGCGUUGUUCGGAUUCAUUGGGCGUAAAGGGCGCGUAGGCUGCGGGGCAAGUCGGGUGUGAAAUCUCAGAGCUCAACUCUGAAACUGCACUCGAUACUGCUUUGCUUGAGGACUGGAGAGGAGAUUGGAAUUCACGGUGUAGCAGUGAAAUGCGUAGAUAUCGUGAGGAAGACCAGUGGCGAAGGCGGAUCUCUGGACAGUUCCUGACGCUGAGGCGCGACAGCGUGGGGAGCAAACAGG